rnacentral:rRNA from 1 species
GGGGAAUCUUGCGCAAUGGUCGAAAGACUGACGCAGCGACGCCGCGUGCGGGAGGAAGCCCUUCGGGGUGUAAACCGCUGUUACUCGGGACGAACUUCCCGAUUUGUCGGGAUUGACGGUACCGGGGGAGGAAGCACCGGCUAACUCUGUGCCAGCAGCCGCGGUAAUACAGAGGGUGCGAGCGUUGUCCGGAAUCACUGGGCGUAAAGGGCGCGUAGGCGGCUUCUCACGCGUGCGGUGAAAGCUCGGGGCUUAACUCCGAGUCUGCCGUGCGAACGGGGAGGCUUGAGUCUGGUAGAGGUCGAUGGAAUUCCGGGUGUAGCGGUGGAAUGCGUAGAGAUCCGGAAGAACACCGGUGGCGAAGGCGGCCUGCUGGGCAGUGGCUGACGCUGAGGCGCGACAGCGUGGGGAGCAAA